rnacentral:rRNA from 1 species
GUACACUCCUACGGGAGGCAGCAGUGGGGAAUAUUGGACAAUGGGCGCAAGCCUGAUCCAGCCAUGCCGCGUGAGUGAUGAAGGCCCUAGGGUUGUAAAGCUCUUUCACCGGUGAAGAUAAUGACGGUAACCGGAGAAGAAGCCCCGGCUAACUUCGUGCCAGCAGCCGCGGUAAUACGAAGGGGGCUAGCGUUGUUCGGAUUUACUGGGCGUAAAGCGCACGUAGGCGGACUAUUAAGUCAGGGGUGAAAUCCCGGGGCUCAACCCCGGAACUGCCUUUGAUACUGGUAGUCUUGAGUUCGAGAGAGGUGAGUGGAAUUCCGAGUGUAGAGGUGAAAUUCGUAGAUAUUCGGAGGAACACCAGUGGCGAAGGCGGCUCACUGGCUCGAUACUGACGCUGAGGUGCGAAAGCGUGGGGAGCAAACAGGAUUAGAAACCCUUGUAGUCCCA